CAGAGCUCAGACCCUAACCCACCUAGUCAGUCUCCUUCCAGCAGGUGCAGCUGGGAGGUCACCCUGGGCUUCUCUCCACCAGUGGGGAAGCAGAACCAUGCUGGGUCCCCUCGCCUUCCUGUGCGCCCUCCUGUUUCCCGGUGGCGUGGCAGCGAUCAGUGUGGAGCAGCCAGCCGUGGUGGUGGCGCGUGCAGGCAGCUGGGCCACGCUGCCCUGCAAAGCCAGCACCUCGGUCAGCUACAUCCACUGGUACCGCCACCAGGAGGGUACAGCCCCCAAGAGGAUCCUCAUGCUGGAUAUGUCCAGCUCAUAUGUGACCAGAGAUGGUGUCUUGACAGCAGACAAGGUCCACGCCAAGAAAGGCAAGGAUAGCACAAGCUCUAACCUGUUGCUGCUGAAGCUGGCGAAGAGCGAUGAGGGCGUGUAUUACUGUGCUGUUUGGGAAGAUCAGAGCACAGCCUUACAGGAAGCUCAGGUCCUUGAGCAAAAAGUCCCCAACUCCCAGGGUGCUCCAGUCCUGGACUUUCCAUGGGUGCUGGGUCCCUGGGGUUUCCUGGGUCAACCGACAGUACCCUGGACACUGGAGGACACCCCCCUCCGUGGGUCCACUGCACAUGACCCAGGAGGCUAAGGAGCCCCGGCUCACAGGCUGGUGCAGACCCAGGGGGCUGUCCCGUCUGGAGGCACUUUUCUAAAGAUCGUCCAGGGUGAGCUUCUGGAGCAUCUGGAGCAGGAUCUGAGCUGCUCAAGGCAGUAGCCACGAGCACCAGGCAUCAGCCCAAUGUGGCUACUGAGCACUUGAAAUGUAGCCACUGCACUAAUCCAUGCUGCCAUGGGCUGCUUGUGUAGCAUAUUCUGGAGACUAUAAAAGACGAUGAAAUAUAUCCUUAAAAAUUUCUAUAUUAACUGCACACUGAAAUCACACUGAAAUACUAUUUUGGAUAUCAUUCACUAAAUAAAAUUUGUGCUAGAAUUAUUUCUUUAACUUUGUAACUUAUUUAUUUAACCUUGUUUUUAACGCAGCAUUUAGGGAAUUUUUAAUUUGUGUCUCAAAUUGUGUCUAACACUUACUUCUAUUGAGCAGAGCUGUGCCAGACUGACGAUUCAAGAAUCUGACCAUCUCCAAUGAAGAAUGUGGGAAUAAAAUAUCGUGCAAAUAAUUUCAAGGCCGAGAGACUCUCUGGGGAUUCCGCACAAAAUGGGUGCAAGCCAAGACUGAAAGGCAGCUCCUGACUCCAGUUUCUAAGUUGCCGCCCCGCCCACUGCUGGUUCCUGUGCAGAGAGAGAGAGAUUCCUUGAUCAGAAGCCCAGGAAACAGUGUGGCUGACUUCGCAGCACCCUCACCCAUGCCUGGCGCUCACUCUCCUGCGGGGGAAAUGAUCCUCAGGGCAGGUGCAUGCAUCAGCCCUGGAGGAGACCCCAGGCCCUCCACCUUCCCCUUCUCCUUGAAAGUGACUCCAUAUGGGAUUUGGGGACCAGCUUCCCUGGACCUCUGUUCUCUCCUCUGUAAAGUGAGGAGGUUUAACUGCUACAGUUGUGUGACUGAUUUCUGUAUUAAAGCAAAAUUAUACCAAAAAUAUAUCACUAUGUUCACUAACUUCUAAUAAAGCUAGUCAACCUCUUGACCAAAAGAAAAAAAAAAAGAAAAAAGAAAGAAGAGAAAUUAAGGAAAAGAAAAGCUAUUUACUGAUUCUCCAGCCCCAAACAGAAAGGCCCUGUUGUGUGGGGGGAAGAUAAAGCUCUCUGAGGAGGUCUAGCUGAAUUAAAUGCAUUUUCAAUUGAAAAUUCCAACUUUAUGUGACAUAAUAGC